rnacentral:tRNA from 1 species
GGGCCCGUAGCUUAGCAUGGUGGAGCGCCCGGCUGAUAUCCAUGUCAGUCACCGGGAGGUCGGGGGUCCAAAUCCCCCCGGGCCCA